rnacentral:rRNA from 1 species
GUGCACCAGUCGAGAAUUUUUCUCAAUGGGGGCAACCCUGAAGGAGCGACGCCGCGUGGAGGAUGAAGGCUUUCGGGUUGUAAACUCCUGUCAUUUGGGAACAAGUUGGACGCAGUAACUACGCGUCCAUUGAUAGUACCAGAAGAGGAAGGGACGGCUAACUCUGUGCCAGCAGCCGCGGUAAUACAGAGGUCCCAAGCGUUGUUCGGAUUCAUUGGGCGUAAAGGGUGCGUAGGUGGCGCCGUAAGUGGGGUGUGAAAUUUCGGAGCUUAACUCCGAAACUGCAUUCCAUACUGCGGUGCUUGAGGACUGGAGAGGAGACUGGAAUUCAUGGUGUAGCAGUGAAAUGCGUAGAGAUCAUGAGGAAGACCAGUGGCGAAGGCGGGUCUCUGGACAGUUCCUGACACUGAGGCACGAAGGCCAGGGGAGCAAACGGGAUUAGAUACCCGCGUAGU